rnacentral:lncRNA from 1 species
GGGAGCUACCCCUCGGCCGCCUUCCAGCUGGGGAGCCGGCUGGAGCGCGGGCUGCCCUCCUCCUCCGCUGACAAAGACGAGGAAACAAAGGCCCAAAGAAGAGUUCCGCCCGGGACGGAACGUGGCAUAGCUCGCAACAGAACCCAGUCUCCGGAGAUCCCUCUCCUCUGCACCACUUGGACGUUCCACGGAGAGGCAGCGGUGCGCGGGGCGACGGGGAGCUGCCAGAGAAGUCAGUGGUGGGCAUGAGUGGGUGAGACGGGCCCACUGAGGUUUCUGGCAGUGGGGAGCCAUGGAAAGUUUCUGAACAGAGAAGCACUUAUUGGGAACUGUCAGAGCUAUGCUUCAGGAGAUGAAUCUGGCAACAACGUGGGUUAAUAUUAAUGCCCUGUACAUCCUGAGUACAUGUUUCCAGAAAGAGGUGAUCCAGGAGGCUGCCAAGUGGCCUGCAGGUGACAUCCAGAGGGCAGAAAAUGCCCAUGCAGGUCCACGUGUGGGUCCUUAAGCCCCUUGAGGAAAAGGGAGGAGAAAAGGACAAAGAAGGCUCUCCCUUUCCCUUGGAUCCCCUUCUACUCCCACAUGCCUAGUGGGAGCCUCCC